GAGGGGAGAGACAGGAGAGCCGGGGAUGGAGGGGGAGAGGUGACUGUGGGAGAAUAUAUCUCCCCUACACAUCACUCCCACCCUUCUUCUGGUGCAAGCGCCACUAAAUCUCACCCUAACUUUCCUCCGCUUUAGGAGAGACUUGCAGGACUGUGAGAGGGAUCCAGGUGGCCACCCCGGAGUCUCUCUUUCCUUUCCAGCCCCCUGGACAGCGGUUCCUCAGCGUCCAUCCCGGGCACGGCGGCCGGAGGGCCCCCGAGGGCACUUUUCACGUUAUCCCCGAGCGGUCCUUCCUCCCAGGAGACACGGCAGGGUUCGGGUCGGCCCUGGCAGCGAGGGGUGCCGUGAUUCUGGCAGUGUGGGAGCCCACUUAGACCGGCUGUCCAGGCAGGAAGCGCCGGGGCGGGCGGCAGAGACCCGCGAGACGUGGCGGUACCUGCGGCGGGCAGGACACGCUCUCACCAAAGGCAAGGAGGGGGAUCCUGCCGCCUUCCUGCAGAACUACUAAUGAAUAAUCACCCGGGGGUGGGGGGUGUUGCUUCUACGAGCAGGCGUGGGGCAGCCGCCGGCUCAGGGUACUCGCGGAGUGCGCGGGGUCGCGCCGGCCCGGCCGCCCUGUCCCUUGCGCGUUGUCGCCGGGCGCUGUUGGAACCGUGGCACCGCAAGCGCCGCCGGGGCCACCACCCGGCGACACCCCCGCGGCGCUCAGCCCGCAUACUCGCCCCCUCUGCAGCGACAACAGUGACAGAGGCGCCGCGAAGGUUCACCUGCCGCAGGACACGCCGAGCCCCUUGGCUUCCCGGUGACAAUGCACACUUCGGGAUUUCCUUUUCCCCGAGGCAUCAAAGGUUACCGCAAGCAUCGCCAGCCGCCAAGAGAUGUUUUAAGAUUCAAAGGUUUACAGGAUGUGCCACUUCAGAGUCCACGGCAAACUAACGCACCCUCGGAUGGCACUUGUGAAGGCAGCCCGUGCCCGUGCGGAGGGAUCGCGCUGACCUUGCUGACACCGCGGGCUCCGGCGCUUGCUCCCGCUCUGCCUCCCGCUGUGGCCGCACCGGGGCUCCCGCACACCGCGGUGUCCCCCUGCCCGGGACCCACAGGGGCCCCGCGGGGCUGCGGGGAGGUGCGGGAUCGGGAGAGCGGCUGCUGCUGGCUUUGCGCGUUUCGGUGAUGGACCGACACAUGAGGUUGGUUGAACUCGGUACCUUAAAGGUCUUUCACAACCUAAA